rnacentral:lncRNA from 1 species
AAUUGAAGUUUCAUAAAAGUUUUCGAAACUUAAUUAUGAUAAGGAAACUUUGGAAAUUUUGUGAAAAAAUAGGGAAGAUUGAAGUAAAGUUCAGAAAUGUGCCAUUAACAGCUAAAAAAUUUUAUAAUGAUCUAAAGUUUUGCGAAUAAAAUUUUGAAGUCAAUCUCAUAACGUCAUUCAUAGUUUUGACAAUAUUGAAUAUCCAAUUUUCUGCAAAAUUGAUACGCUUCGACGUUCUAACUAGCGCAUUCCGGGGAUUAGUACGAGUAGUACCGGAGCGGUGAACUGCAUUGUACCUAUGAACUGGAUUGUAUCCAUGAACUGCAUUGUAUCUAAACGUCAGGACGUGGUAAACUUGGUGAAAAUCUCGGCGCAAACGAAUUUUGUACAAAAAGUGAUGGAUGAGGCAUAUUCACUAAACCCG